GGGGCGAGAUGGGUUGUAGUGCAUGGACCUUGAGACAUGUUCCCUAGAGCCUUAUACAUGUAUUUGAGUAUUUAUGUUCAUGAAAUUUUCUUAGCGAUAUGUUUUACUAUAUAAUUAAUUAAUAAUUUUCAUGGUUUCUACAAAACCUUUGAAUGAAUAGGUUAUGUUAAUUCCAAUAUAGCUUUCUAUAGCUUCAGGUGAAUGUUUGUAGACCUUUAUUUUUUUAUGAUACUUUUUGAAGAUAUUAUGCACCAUUAGAUCAUUUCUCCAUAGAGGGCACGGUCGAAUUUGAACAAAGUAACAAAAUCACAAAUUUUUAAGCCCAUGUCAACAUUCAUGACAAGCUUACCAACUACUAAGAUUUCUUAGAAAGAACAUAGCACAAGUUGAUCUAUUACAACCACAACUAAAAUAAGGUUAAGAAACGAUACAGACCACACAAUAUAUCUCACAAAACGUCGAAUGUCUAACAACGAUUACAAAACCAAGACCAAAGUACACAUAUAUAAAGGAACGAUGUUUUUCUAGUUUUGAAGACAAAGAACAAGAUAGUUUACCACCAAGCCAUCUAACACGAUCGAUGCUGUCUUUUGAUCAUGUUCUUCAUGGCGAUGGUAAUGCAAUGUGGUCUCUUCUAAUGCCCCUCAUCUUCAUUCUUUAGGAACUUUGGUUCUUCCAACCUAAUACAAUGGAAAAGAACAAUG
rnacentral:lncRNA from 7 species